rnacentral:rRNA from 1 species
AUGAAAAUGAUAUGUUGGAACUGUCGAGGGUUGGGUCGCCCUCGGACAGUCCAAGAGCUUGUCUGUCUCACUAAGACACAUCGACCCAAUGUUAUCUUUCUUUCCGAAACAAGGCAAAAUAAAGAAUAUGUUGAGAGUUUGCGGUAUCGCUUGGGUAUGAAAAAUGUUUUCUCUGUUUCUGUGCCAGGCAAAGGUGGUGGACUAGCGGUAUUUUGGGAUGAU